rnacentral:sRNA from 1 species
UGAAGAGCUGUCUGAUGAUGUGUGUUCAAACAGCUGUAUUAUUUCAUGCAGUACUGUGUGUAGAACUGCAUGCAGUCAAGCAGUUCUAUAAAGUCUGUAGAGAUCAGAGAUUCUAGAUAGACAACAGCUGUUAUCUGAUUAUAUAGCUGUGCUGCUGAUCUCUUGAGUCAGUGAGAGAAGUGUCUCUGUGAAUGUCAACAGAGUAUCAAAUAUUCUGAGCUUUUGUUGUAUUCACAGAUAUAGAUGAGUCUCACAUCUGCAUGCUGAAAGCAUCUGUGAUAGAGCAAUCGCCCUGCCGCCGCUCCCUGCGAGCAAUCGUCCUGCUGCUGCUCGCUACGAGCAAUCGCCCUGCCUCCGCCCUGCCUCCGCCCUGCCUCUGCUCUCUGUGAGAGCAAUCACCCUGCCGCUGCUCACUACGAGCAAUCGCCCUGCCGCUGCUCCCUGCGAGCAAUCACCCUGCCGCUGCUCCCUGCGAGCAAUCGUCCUGCUGCUGCUCGCUACGAGCAAUCGCCCUGCCGCUGCUCCCUGUGAGCAAUCGCCCUGCCUCCGCCCUGCCUCUGCUCUCUGUGAGAGCAAUCACCCUGCCGCUGCUCCCUGCGAGCAAUCGCCCUGCCGCCGCUCCCUGCAAGCAAUCGUCCUGCUGCUGCUCGCUACGAGCAAUCGCCCUGCCGCUGCUCCCUGUGAGCAAUCGCCCUGCCUCCGCCCUGCCUCCGCCCUGCCUCUGCUCUCUGUGAGAGCAAUCACCCUGCCGCUGCUCACUACGAGCAAUCGCUCUGCCGCUGCUCCCUGUGAGCAAUCGCCCUGCCGUAGCACUUGUGUGCUUUGAUUAUCUUUACCAUGAAUGGCCAUACAUCGGGCCAGAAGUGGAUGAACAGUCUAUAUAGACUGAGUCUUCUCAAGAGUUGCUAUCUGGAUCCUGUGUCUAUCAUUACUGUGUAUAUAGAGAUUUCUCCAGCAUAGCACAUCUCCAUGCCCUUCGGGAGGCUUCUGAAACAUGGGCGCUGCCCGUGCUUUCUCCGGGAUGUUAAACCAAUACAAACAAACAAAUACAAACAAAUACACAGCAGAUAUCAACUGUCUCAGUGUUGAAGAUAUAUGAUAUAGAGCUCAGUGCAGCUAAGAAGCUGAUCAGCUGUUUGUUUCUCUGAUAGAUUAUAAAGCUAUAGCUCAUCUGUCUGCUGUUGUCAAGAAUCUAUACUGAUUUAUCUGAGAAAAUAUAUAAAUUUGUUGA